CUGCAGGCUCCUCUCGGGGAACCGUGCGGGUCCCGGUCUCAACGAUGGUGAUUCAUGAUAACUCUGCGGAUCGCACGGUCUCCGAACCGGCGACGAUUCAUUCAAAUUCUGCCCUAUCAACUUUGAUGGUAGGAUAGAGGCCUACCAUGGUGGCGACGGGUAACGGAGAAUUAGGGUUCGAUUCCGGAGAGGGAGCCUGAGAAAUGGCUACCACUUCCAAGGAAGGCAGCAGGCGCGCAAAUUACCCAAUCCCGACCCGGGGAGGUAGUGACAAUAAAUAUCGAUGCAGGACCCGAACAGGGUCUUGUAAUUGGAAUGAGAACAAUCCAAACCCCUUAACGAGUAACCAUUAGAGGGCAAGUCUGGUGCCAGCAGCCGCGGUAAUUCCAGCUCUAAUAGCGUAUAUUAAAGUUGUUGCGGUUAAAAAGCUCGUAGUUGGAUCUCGGGGUGGAAUCAAAAAGGGGGAGGGGAAAGGGAG
rnacentral:rRNA from 1 species